GACACUGGACCCAGGAUCUUGCCCUAGAGUUUUGUUACCUACUCAAGGAUCCUGACUCUAGUUUAGAACAAUGCUCAGCAAAUUACCGUCCUGGUAACAGGACCAUCACAGCUCUGCCUGUCCAUUCGAGCCUUAGAAAGUCACCAUAGCACUUUCCUGUCCCUUUUUAGUGAUCUUUUCUUUCCCAGGCUGGAGGACCAUGGGGUGAAGGGCAGUGUCCUGGAAGAAGGUGGAUUUGCUAUGGAGCUUCACUAGCAAAGCAGGAAGCAGACCAUGCUGAGGGUGCUUUGCAGGCUGUGAUGAGCUCUGCAGCAGAUGAGCGGUUGUCUUGGAGCAGGAGAGGAGAGACCUGUUCCCAGCGGUGAUUUCAAUGAGUGACCCUGCUUGGAGUGACAUUCACCAACAGCCCAG
rnacentral:lncRNA from 1 species